rnacentral:rRNA from 1 species
GAUAAACGCUGGCGGCGCACAUAAGACAUGCAAGUCGAACGGACUUAACCGAAAUGUUUACAUUUUGGAGCGGUUAGUGGCGGACUGGUGAGUAACACGUAAGCAACCUGCCUAUUAGAGGGGAAUAACAGUGAGAAAUCAUUGCUAAUACCGCAUAUGCCAUAAUCACCACAUGGUGAUAGUGGGAAAGGAGCAAUCCGCUAAUAGAUGGGCUUGCGUCUGAUUAGAUAGUUGGUGGGGUAACGGCCUACCAAGUCGACGAUCAGUAGCCGGACUGAGAGGUUGAACGGCCACAUUGGGACUGAGAUACGGCCCAG